CUUCAGUUUGUUCCUUCCUUAAUAUUUGGAUUAUAAAGUUAAACACACCUGGUGACUAAAAGUUCCUCUGGGACCUAAAAAAGCAAUUUUUGAAGCGCUCAUUUGCAAAUUUUAAUUACAAAAUACAGUGUAAGAAUUACACCCUUUUAAAUAAAAAUAAAAUAAAAUAAAUUUAGAGGAGAAAAGCAAGUGAUGAGAGCAACUGUUUAAAAAUAGGAUUUCAAGGUGUCCAUUACCUUUAUAGGAUUGUUCACUACCGAAUGUAUACUACAUUAGAUGGAUCAGAUAGCGAAUAUUUUUGAAUAAACAACAGCCACUCUAAAGUUUUCGCUUCAUAGAAUUUUAAAAAAUAUUGAUUUUAUUUAUAUUGCAAAUAAAUCUUUAUAGUUUAUUUCGUAAACCAUGAUAAGAACGAGAAGCUGAGAAACCAAUUUAUACAAUUUGGAA